rnacentral:rRNA from 1 species
AUUGAACGCUGGCGGCAGGCCUAACACAUGCAAGUCGAGCGGAUGAAGGGAGCUUGCUCCUGGAUUCAGCGGCGGACGGGUGAGUAAUGCCUAGGAAUCUGCCUGGUAGUGGGGGAUAACGUCCGGAAACGGGCGCUAAUACCGCAUACGUCCUGAGGGAGAAAGUGGGGGAUCUUCGGACCUCACGCUAUCAGAUGAGCCUAGGUCGGAUUAGCUAGUUGGUGGGGUAAAGGCCUACCAAGGCGACGAUCCGUAACUGGUCUGAGAGGAUGAUCAGUCACACUGGAACUGAGACACGGUCCAGACUCCGACGGGAGGCGGCAGUGGGGAAUAUUGGACAAUGGGCGAAAGCCUGCUCCAGCCAUGCCGCGUGUGUGAAGAAGGUCUUCGGAUUGUAAAGCACUUUAAGUUGGGAGGAAGGGCAGUAAGUUAAUACCUUGCUGUUUUGACGUUACCAACAGAAUAAGCACCGGCUAACUUCGUG